rnacentral:rRNA from 1 species
UACGUAGGGGGCGAGCGUUGUCCGGAAUUAUUGGGCGUAAAGAGCUCGUAGGCGGUGUGUCACGUCGGCCGUGAAAACCUGCAGCUUAACUGUGGGCGUGCGGUCGAUACGGGCAUCACUGGAGUUCGGCAGGGGAGACUGGAAUUCCUGGUGUAGCGGUGAAAUGCGCAGAUAUCAGGAGGAACACCGGUGGCGAAGGCGGCUCUCUGGGCCGAUACUGACGCUGAGGAGCGAAAGCGUGGGGAGCAAACAGG